rnacentral:rRNA from 1 species
GAUGAACGCUAGCGGCAGGCCUAACACAUGCAAGUCGAGGGAGAAGCCCUUUCGGGGGCCGAAACCGGCGCACGGGUGCGUAACGCGUAUGCAACCUACCUUUCACAGGGGGAUAGCCCGAAGAAAUUUGGAUUAAUACCCCAUAAUAUUAUUGGAUGGCAUCAUUUGAUAAUUAAAACUGCGGUGGUGAAAGAUGGGCAUGCGUCCUAUUAGCUAGUUGGAGUGGUAACGGCACCCCAAGGCUACGAUAGGUAGGGGUCCUGAGAGGGAGAUCCCCCACACUGGUACUGAGACAGGGACCAGACUCCUACGGGAGGCAGCAGUGAGGAAGAUUGGUCAAUGGUCGGAAGACUGAACCAGCCAUGCCGCGUGCAGGAAGAAUGCCUUAUGGGUUGUAAACUGCUUUUAUAUGGGAAGAAUAAGGCGUACGUGUACGUUGAUGACGGUACCAGAUGAAUAAGCAUCGGCUAACUCCGUG